AUACUCUGGUUUCUCUUCAUAUCGUAUAAAUCUUUCGCCUUUUACUAAAGAUUUCCGUGGAGAGGAACAAUCGAGAGUUUCGAAACAUUUUUAGAAGCCUUGCUUCCGCGAGGU
rnacentral:snRNA from 1 species